UACAGCCAUAUCACAUUGAAACACCAGUUCACAUAUGAUUACUGAAGUUAAGCAAUGUUGAACCAGGUCAGUACCUACAUGAGUGACUGCUUGGGAAUACUAAGUGCUGUAA